GCCUGAUUAGCUCAGUAUGUAGAGCAUCAGACUUUUAAUCUGAGGGUCAAGGGUUCGAGUCGCCCUUAUCGGGCG